rnacentral:rRNA from 1 species
UACGAAGGGGGCUAGCGUUGCUCGGAAUCACUGGGCGUAAAGGGCGCGUAGGCGGCCGAUCAAGUCGGGGGUGAAAUCCCAGGGCUCAACCCUGGAAUUGCCUUCGAUACUGUUUGGCUUGAGUCUGGUAGAGGUUGGUGGAACUGCGAGUGUAGAGGUGAAAUUCGUAGAUAUUCGGAAGAACACCAGUGGCGAAGGCGGCUCACUGGACUGGUAUUGACGCUGAGGUGCGAAAGCGUGGGGAGCAAACAGG